rnacentral:rRNA from 1 species
GGGUGAAUCUUCCGCAAUGGACGAAAGUCUGACGGAGCAACGCCGCGUGAGUGAUGAAGGCUUUCGGGUCGUAAAACUCUGUUGUUAGGGAAGAACAAGUACGAGAGUAACUGCUCGUACCUUGACGGUACCUAACCAAAAAGCCACGGCUAACUACGUGCCAGCAGCCGCGGUAAAUAUAAAC